CGAAGUCCACCUCUGUAUUAACCACGUGGAGGUUAGGUACAAUACACCUGCUCGAGGGAAGGAGCCCAUUAAAGAAUUGAAAAGGAUGAAGGGAGAGCUUGUCUACAUAUGGAGGACACAGAGUCCCAAGGAAAGGCAGUAAACUGGUUGGUUGCUCCUGUGCUGCCUUCCUUCUCGAGAGCCAGCCCAUUACUGGUGGCUUAGGGGAGACUGGGAAAGAGGAAGCAGAAGAGAUAAAAUCACUUAAAAUUAGCAGCCUUCAGUGUUGCUAGACCUAACUGCUUCCAGAAGCAAAAGUAAAUGAUGGGAGACAGUUAAAACCUUUCUCAGUUAGCUUUGGAACAAUUCUGCUGUUGGCACUAUGAGGCCAGAAGCCAAGCGUCACACUGUGGACCUUAAAGCACUGCUGGGAACAUCACGUCCACAUUCACCAGGACGCUCAAAUUCAGGUAAUUCAUCCUUGUUCCAAAAUGGUUUUUGGUUGUCUGAAUACUGCUCACAACUUGAAAUGCUUUGCUGGCCAACGCCAUCCCCAGGGACACGCAGUUUGAAGGUCAUGGGGACCAAGGAGGUAUUAUUGAGGGAACAUAUCAAGGUAUGAGGAAACCCUGGAAAACAAAAUAUAAGGUGGUCAUUGUAUCUGCUACCAUUUUCAGAACAAGAAUGCUCUAAAACUACAAGAGAAUAAACAUGCAUAUUUCUACUGGAUGUAAACACUUCUCUUUCUAUGUUGAAACCUACUGUGAUGAAAUACAACUCGU